rnacentral:misc_RNA from 1 species
CCUGCGGAAGGAUCAUUACAGUAUUGUUUUUUGCCAGCGCUUAACUGCGCGGCGAAAAUAAACCUUACACACAGUGAUUUUUCUUUUACUGGAACUAUUGCUUUGGCUUGGCCGCAAGGUUGGGCCAGAGGUUUACAUAAACUUCAAUUUUUUUAAUUGAAUUGUUAAUUAAAUAUUAUUUGUCAAUUAGUUUGAUUUUAUUCAAAAAAAAUUAAAACUUUCAACAACGGAUCUCUUGGUUCUCGCAUCGAUGAAGAACGCAGCGAAAUGCGAUAAGUAAUAUGAAUUGCAGAUUUUCGUGAAUCAUCGAAUCUUUGAACGCACAUUGCGCUCUUUGGUAUUCCAGAGAGCAUGCCUGUUUGAGCGUCAUUUCUCUCUCAAACCUUUGGGUUUGGUAUUGAGUGAUACUCUUAGUCGGACUAGGCGUUUGCUUGAAAAGUAUUGGCAUGAGUGUACUAAAUAGUGCUUUCUGAUUUAUUCAAUGUAUUAGGUUUAUCCAACUCGUUGAGCAGAUCGGAGGAGUAAAUUUCUGGUGUUAUUGGCUCGGCCUUACAACCAACAAACAAGUUUGACCUCAAAUCAGGUAGGAUUACCCGCUGAACUUAAGCAUAUC